rnacentral:rRNA from 1 species
UACGUAGGGUGCAAGCGUUGUCCGGAAUUAUUGGGCGUAAAGAGCUCGUAGGCGGCUUGUCGCGUCGACUGUGAAAUCCCGCGGCUCAACUGCGGGUCUGCAGUCGAUACGGGCAGGCUAGAGUUCGGUAGGGGAGACUGGAAUUCCUGGUGUAGCGGUGAAAUGCGCAGAUAUCAGGAGGAACACCGAUGGCGAAGGCAGGUCUCUGGGCCGAUACUGACGCUGAGGAGCGAAAGCGUGGGGGAGCGAACAGG